GAGACACCCUUAUGGGGCAGGACUUGCUUCAGUGGGGCUUUGGUGCUCACUGAGUCUGCCCCUUGAAUGUGUCCCU
rfam:Myotis brandtii contig221881, whole genome shotgun sequence.